rnacentral:pre_miRNA from 13 species
AUGUUGCUGACAUAUUGCACCUGUCGAAUGGUUGCUUGCUCGAUGAGGUAGUAGGUUGUAUAGUUAUGAGUUGUAUCAUAUCGGAGAAACUGUCCAGCCUGCUAGCUUGCCGUGCGGGUCCAUCACCCGUCUUCGUA